UAAGGCUCAUAUGCGCAAGACU
rnacentral:miRNA from 1 species